rnacentral:rRNA from 1 species
UACAGAGGUCCCAAGCGUUGUUCGGAUUCAUUGGGCGUAAAGGGUGCGUAGGCGGCGCGGUAAGUCGGGUGUGAAAUCUCGGGGCUUAACUCCGAAACUGCAUUCGAUACUGCCGUGCUUGAGGACUGGAGAGGAGACUGGAAUUUACGGUGUAGCGGUGAAAUGCGUAGAUAUCGUAAGGAAGACCAGUGGCGAAGGCGGGUCUCUGGACAGUUCCUGACGCUGAGGCACGAAAGCGUGGGGAGCAAACAGG